rnacentral:lncRNA from 1 species
AUGAGAAGCAGGGCUGGCUGCUGCUGGAGUGGAGCCCAGUGCUGUGUUCUCCAGUCCCCCAGACCAAACCACCCCAAAUACCACAGCUGCAUCCUGACAUGGGGAUGAGGGGCAAGCCUAGACACAGCCUUAGGCUUGACAAACUGUCCUUCCAGAGAGAACCCCCUCACUACCCAGUGUGGAUCUCAUCGAUUGCAAUCAAAGACCAAGGGGAACAGCCAAAUCACUCAAGGGGCGCCAUCACCCCAGCUUUGAUGGGCUUCAGGACAGCAUCGGUGCCUGCACUAUGAACAACACCCUCCCUGGAUUCUGACCCUGGCUGGCAGCGGGUUCAAGGAAGCCAGUUUCAAGGUCUCUGUCAUCCCAAUACUUAGGAAUGUGGGGCAGGAAGAAGGCCCUGAGUCUAGGGCCAACCUAGGCUACCCAAGUAAGAGCCUGCCUCAGAGGGUUAAGAACAGAACCAAAGGGCAAGCUGAAUGGAGAUCUGAUGAACAGACGCUGUUAGAUACAUGUUUAAUGGGAAGGGAGGAGACCUUAAGAGAGACCCGAAUAGAGAAUGUUCACAGUGAUCAGGAUCACAACACGCUUCCCUGAACCUUCAAGCACACUUCUAAAAAAGAGCUUACAGGACAGCAAUGGAGAACGACAGCUAGGAGUAUACAGGAGUCCAAUCUUACAAGCAGGAGGGAUCUGACUGUUGUCAACCAGGUGCUAGAGCUCUGGGCUUCCAGGAAAGGCCAAGACGUUCCCAGAGCAGGAACAGCAGCAUGUGACCGAGAGCCUCCAGCUAAGAUGGCAGCCCAUGUCACAUGGGACCUGUGAGAGCUUAAAAGCACACUGAAGUGGAGGUGACACCCAGGUCUAUCACUCCACAUACCAGGACAAGCUUAGACCUUGCUACGCCAAGACUAGCAGCAGCUCAUCAGAGUGACAGGCGUCUACUCUCUGCAGAAACUCUGCUUUCAGAGCACCCCAACAUCCAGAGAGACGCCCAGCGAGCUGCUGUCUACUGAAAACUUGGUCUCAAGCCACUAGACCCCUGCAGCGUACACACUAUCACAGUAUCUAAUUACUUCCUCAAAAUGCCUGCACCCUGAACUAUUACCAAUAAACUCGGAAUCUGGGGCGGGGUGUGGCCUGUGCACUCCCCCUACAA